rnacentral:rRNA from 1 species
CCUACGGGGGGCAGCAGUGAGGAAUAUUGGUCAAUGGGCUUACGCCUGAACCAGCCAAGUCGCGUGAGGGAAGACUGCCCUAUGGGUUGUAAACCUCUUUUGUCAGGGAGCAACGCCGGCUACGUGUAGCCGGACGGAGAGUACCUGAAGAAAAAGCAUCGGCUAACUCCGUGCCAGCAGCCGCGGUAAUACGGAGGAUGCGAGCGUUAUCCGGAUUUAUUGGGUUUAAAGGGCGUGUAGGCGGGGAAGCAAGUCAGAUGUGAAAACCAUGGGCUCAACCUGUGGCCUGCAUUUGAGACUGUUUUUCUUGAGUACUGGAGAGGCAGACGGAAUUCCUGGUGUAGCGGUGAAAUGCGUAGAUAUUAGGAGGAACACCAGUGGCGAAGGCGGUCUGCUGGACUGUAACUGACGUUGAGGCUCGAAAGCGUGGGGAGCAAACAGGAUUAGAUACCCCAGUAGUC